UAGGGAAUCUUCGGCAAUGGACGAAAGUCUGACCGAGCAACGCCGCGUGAGUGAAGAAGGUUUUCGGAUCGUAAAACUCUGUUGUUAGAGAAGGACAAGGGUGAGAGUAACUGUUCACCCCUUGACGGUAGUCUAACCAGAAAGCCACGGCUAACUACGUGCCAG
rnacentral:rRNA from 1 species